UUAAGUUCAGCGGGUAUCCUCACCUGAUCCGAGGUCAAACUUUAGGGUAUGAUUACCUGGCGGGCACCGCCGCGGACUCCUGAAGCGAAAUUUUUGCUACGCUUGAAGCCGGACUGCACCGCCGACGGGUUACGGACGGGUCACUCGACCGCGUCCAAGACCAAGCUAAGCUUGAUGGUUUAAAUGACGCUCGAACAGGC
rnacentral:misc_RNA from 1 species